ACGAACGCUGGCGGCGUGCCUAACACAUGCAAGUCUACUCAGCAAUGGGUGGCGAACGGGUGAGUAACGCGUAGACAAUCUGCCCUUUAUCACAGAUAACCUAGUGAAAACUGGACUAAAACGGGAUGUGGUCGCGAUAUGGCAUCAUAUGCGAUCAAAGACGUAGUCGUUAAAGGAGGAGUCUGCGUAACAUUAGCUAGUUGGUAAGGUAACGGCUUACCAAGGCGACGAUGUUUAGCUGGUCUGAGAGGAUGAUCAGCCACACUGGGACUGAGAUACGGCCCAGACUCCUACGGGAGGCAGCAGUGAGGAAUAUUGCACAAUGGGGGCAACCCUGAUGCAGCAACGCCGCGUGUACGAUGACACAGUUUAUCUGCGUAAAGUACUGUUAACCGGGACGAAAAGAUGCAUGGACUGCAUUUAUAUGACGGUACCGGUAGAGGAAGCUCCGGCUAACUCCGUGCCAGCAGCCGCGGUAAUACGGGGGGAGCUAGCGUUGUCCGGAUUUAUUGGGCGUAAAGGGCAUGUAGGUGGGACUUUAAGUCAGUUGUUAAAUAUUACGGCUUAACUGUAUUAUGCAAUUGAUACUGGAGUUCUUGAGUAUGAGAGGGGACAGAGGAAUACCUGGUGUAGCGGUGGAAUGCGUAGAUAUUAGGUAGAACACCUGAGGCGAAAGGCGUCUGUCUGGCCAUUACUGACACUGAAAUGCGAAAGUAUGGGGAGCAAACAGGAUUAGAUACCCUGGUAGUCCAUACUGUAAACGAUGGGUACUAGGUGUCGGGAGGACUAGCCCUCUCGGUGCCGCAGCUAACGCGUUAAGUACCCCGCCUGGGGAAUACGAUCGCAAGGUUG
rnacentral:rRNA from 1 species